rnacentral:rRNA from 1 species
CGAAGUCCAACUCCGAUUCUGGCUUUGGAUCUGUCCCAAAGAGGGUGAGAGGCCCGUUCGGGUAGAUGGAGUAAUGCUUAGAUGUGCAUACCUUGGAGUCGGAUUGCUUGAGAAUGCAGKCCAAAGCGGGUGGUAAACUCCAUCCAAGGCUAAAUACUGGCACGAGUCCGAUAGUAAACAAGUACCGUGAGGGAAAGUUGAAAAGUACUCUGAAGAGAGAGUAAAUAGUACGUGAAGCCGCUUGCAGGGAAGCUGGUGGAGUCAAGCUUCAUGUCCGAAUGAUUGGUAACGAGAGUAAUAUGGUAUUCGGCACUAAUGAUCGGUGGAACUGGAAACGUUCCGUCGGGUUCGUCCCGAUUCGAGUGUUCUGGUAUGUGUGCUUUGGCUGAUCAUUUUGUGUUCUCUCUUACAUUCUAUCAUCGGGCAGCCACCACGGUUGAUAGGUCUAUGGUGCGUGGGGCUCAAACUGUGUCUAUGUGGGCUACUAGUCUGCUGGAUACAGGAGGGCAGAAGGUGCCUCAGUAUGACUUGCUCAUGCUGUCGGCACGUAUAACGGCUUUGCCAGCCGGGUCUCACGCUGUGUGUUGUUUUACUAUUUGACCUAUCAUGAAAAUAAUCCCGUCUCCAUGCAAAUUGGUAGCGGGAGUUAAGAAUCGUGGUGUUGGAGUAGAUUUUCCACCCGACCCGUCUUGAAACACGGACCAAGGAGUUUAACAUGAGCGCAAGUCAAUGGGAUCUUACGAAACCCAGAGGCGUAAUGAAAGUAAAUGGAUGCUUUUCGCAACCUGAGGUGUGAUCCUGUGUGACCUUUAUUAGGGCUCAUAGGCCCAACACCGGCCCCGUUUCAAUUUGUAGUCGUUGAACCACGGUMUGAAUGCMUCAAAGMGRMSAGCAAUGGKCKAGGCAGCUAGAAAUCGAGUUUCAUGGUCUGGAAAGAACCCAGAAAGCAAUGGUUGUAACCUAUACUGCCUUAGCGAUAGGUCGCAAUGUCAUGAUAGACAAAACGCUCCUGUGGGAGUGAGAACAGGAGAACGCCGCG